rnacentral:rRNA from 1 species
AGUGAACGCUGGCGGUAGGCCUAACACAUGCAAGUCGAACGGCAGCACAGUAAGAGCUUGCUCUUACGGGUGGCGAGUGGCGGACGGGUGAGGAAUACAUCGGAAUCUACUUUUUCGUGGGGGAUAACGUAGGGAAACUUACGCUAAUACCGCAUACGACCUACGGGUGAAAGCAGGGGAUCUUCGGACCUUGCGCGAUUGAAUGAGCCGAUGUCGGAUUAGCUAGUUGGUGGGGUAAAGGCCCACCAAGGCGACGAUCCGUAGCUGGACUGAGAGGAUGAUGGGCCACACUGGAACUGAGACGCGGUCCAGACGCCUCCGGGAGGCAGCAGUAGGGAAUGUUGCGCAAUGGGCGAAAGCCUGACGGAGCAGCGCCGCGUGAGUGAUGAAGGCCUUCGGAUCGUAAACCUCUGUUAUUAGGGAAGAACAAAUGUGUAAGUAACUCUGCACGUCUUGACGGUACCUAAUCAGAAAGCCACGGCUAACUACGUG